AAAGAGCUCGUAGGUCGUUUGUUACGUCGGAUGUGAAAACCUGAGGCUCAACCUCAGGCCUGCAUUCGAUACGGGCAAACUAGAGUUUGGUAGGGGAGACUGGAAUUCCUGGUGUAGCGGUGGAAUGCGCAGAUAUCAGGAGGAACACCAAUGGCGAAGGCAGGUCUCUGGGCCAAUACUGACACUGAGGAGCGAAAGUCUGGGGAGCGAACAGGAUUAGAUACCCGAGU
rnacentral:rRNA from 1 species